GUUGAAGAAGAAGGACGUUUCACGGGGUGUCAGACUGGGGAGAAAGUGGGACUGGUCACUAGGGCCCCAAGGGGGAAGAGGGCCCUUGAAAAGUCUGAGGUGAGCUGAACUGAUCUGAUCCGAAAUAGUCAGGAAGGGCUCCUUGUGGACAUUAAUCUAACAGGAGUAACCCAGAGAUACUUCACAGGGACAUCAUGAAGAAAUCAGUCUCCUCUGGGGCCAGUGACCCAUCCAUGAGGACUGACCAGUCAAAAGACCAGUCACUUGACUUCAGCAUCAAGUCCUUGGAUUCUGGUCAUGCGCCAUCUGUGUCAUCCUCUGGUGUAUCAGGAGAGGGUAUAUGUGAUGUCUGCUCUGACACAGCAGUGAAGAUCUGUUUAACCUGCAUGGCCUUUUACUGUGGGACUCAUGUGAAGGACCACUACACAUCUCCAGACCUGGAGAGACACCAGCUACAGAACCUCCGCUGUGAGCUGCAUCACAAAAAGCUGAAGUUAUACUGCAGGGCCGACCAAUCAGCAAUCUGCUCGCGCUGCUUACUUCAUGACCACAAGGGACAUGAUGUCAUUGAGCAGAACCCUCUAGAGACCUCCUUAGAGUCUACAAUCCGAAAAGAUAUUCCUCGUCCUGGGGAGAUCCAGUUCACUUCAGUGCAGACAGACUCUGUGUCCUUAAGAUGGUCACCACCAGAGGGCGCUCCUGGACCCCACAGGUUCAGAGUGACAUGGGGACGAGGUCACAAGCAGCACAGCAUGAUAGUGGGAGGUUUGGAUCUGACGGUAACAGAACUGAUUCCAGGAGUGAAGUAUAACUUUGCUGUGGCCACCCUCAGUGAAAAUGGCCUUCAGAGCUCAUGUGUGGACGGAUUUGUUCACACAGAGGUUCCUCCACCAGAGAAUCUCACUGUGGAUUUGAGCCCAUUGAAGGCCUCUGUGGAGUGGACCAAACCUGCCGGAGUGGACAAGGCAUCUUACCUGCUGGAGCUUUUCAGAGAUCAGAAAAGAAUUGAUGCCAUCACUAGAGAUUCUCCCAAUUACACCAUCCCUGGCCUACAACAUGGAAGAGAUUACACCAUCAAUGUGUACAUUGUACUGAACAAUGGCUGUCAAAGCAAACCAAGCAGCCAGAGGUUUAGAACAGAGAUUCCAGUCCCAGAGGGUCUGACUGUGAUGUCCAUCACCACAUCAUCUGUUAGCCUCAGCUGGGAGGUGUCUCCUGAGAUUAACCAGACCCCACACAGCUUCCUGGUCUCUUACCAGAGUGAAGGGACUGAGCCACAGCCCAUCUCUACAGAGUCAUGCAGCACAGACAUCACAGGCCUGAAACCAGGAACUGAGUACACUGUUAGAGUUUACAUUCAGCUCAAAGAAGGAGGAAAGGGCCAGCCUGCUUCUAAGAUGAUUAAAACAGAGAUUCCAGUCCCAGAGCGUCUGGCUGUGAGCUCCAUCACCACGUCAUCUGCAAGCCUCAGCUGGGAGGUGUCUCCUGAGAUGAGGCAGACUCCACACAGUUUCCUGGUCUCUUACCAGAGUGAAGGGGCUGAGCCUCAGUCCAUCUUUGCUGAGUCAUGCAGCGCAUACAUCACAGGCCUCAAACCAGGAACUGAGUACACUGUUAGAGUCUACACACAGGGCCAACACGGAGGAAAGAGCCAGCCUGCUUCUUAUAACAUUAAGACAGAGGUUCCAGUCCCUGACAAUCUGGCUGUGGGCUCUGUCACUGCAUCAUCUGCUAACUUCAGCUGGGAGGUGCCUCCUGAGAUGAACCAGACUCCACACAGAUUCCUGGUCUCUUACCAGAGUGAAGGGACUGAGCUUUGGUCCAUCACUACUGAGUCAUGCAGUGCAGACAUCAAAGGCCUGAAACCAGGAACUUUGUACACUGUUGAAGUCUACACACAGGGCCAACAUGGAGGAAAGAGCCAGCCUGUUUCUCAUAAAAUUAAGACAGGUGAGACACUAUCAAAUGAACGAAUGGUACACGGACCCUUUCUAAAUAUUCAAUUGAGAUUAAAAAAAUGACUUGUUUCAAUAUAAUUGUUUAUGAAUGUGAUACAAGCAAAUAAAUAACGCUAUGUUUUUCCAGACUUUUGAUUUCAUGGUCAGAUCAAAAGUAGAACAUUUAAAAACGGACUCAGGGCCAAAACUAAUUUUGAUAUUUAUUUUUUUCCGAUUGCUGUGACCCGGAAAUUAUUUAUUGACUUCCAUUGCUAGCUGCUGCUUCAGUCAGACAUAGCUGUCAGACUACCAGUCCGAAUGUAACUUUACCAUAGUCAAUGGUAAUUUAACCUAAAUAGCCUAGGCCUACAUUUAAAUGUCCACUCAGACCAACAGGAUCUCUUUUUCCCCCUCAGCUGACAGUCUAAUAGCCCAGGUUUUUCUAACGUUGCCUAUGCUCAAAGGCCUCAAAGGCUCUGGAUCACUACACUACCACCACUCGGACGAAAGACAUGUCAAAUAUAGGCUGUUUGAGCAAAAAGUGGGCUACAACUUCAUUCACAAGCAGAGCAAACUGUUCAACUUCCGGGAAUUCGCCUGCCCCCUUGAGUAAAACCUACUAUUAGAACUAAUCAUGGGCAGCGUAUAGUUGCUAUGCAGUUCAGCUCCGGAAACAACUUUCAGAUGAGAUUAAAAUUGCCCCAACUGUCGCCAGUUUCAAAUCUAGACUAAACAUUUCUCAGAUGCUAACUGAUGAAAUGUUCAUUGCCCAGUUCUCACUCUUCGGGUGAGUUGUUCCUUGUAGUUGUCCUGUCAUUCUACAGAAGAGACUGAUCGGGCAUAGUCAGAGUGUAACAGCUCAUUCUUUACGGUUCAAGAGUUACAGCUUUACCGGCUUUCUCUGAAACUCUGAGGGCCUGAUGUAGGCCUACGUACAUUUGCAAACACAACGCUAUCAUUGUUUUCCAUUUUAUGCUUUUAUGUAAUGUUUUACAUGUUUUUUGUUUUUGUUAUUCUUUCAUUAUUGCCUUUCUGUGCUUUUAUUAGCCUUUCCUUUGCUUGUGUUUACGUAAAGCAUAUGUAAUGCGUUACAUAAAUACAGUUUUUAAUAUAUAGAUAUAUUUUGCGGGGGCUUUUUGCCUUUAUUCAUAUAGAGACAGGAAGCAAGUGAGAGAGAGAGAUGGGGAGGGAUCGGUAAAUGACCGCAGAUCAGAUCCGAACCUGGGACCCGUUGGCACUCGGACCCGUAUAUGGCCUGAGUGCUGUAGCCUGUUGCGCCACAGCGCCCCCACGUUACAUAAAUAAAGUUGUAUUGACUGUGAAAGUGGUAGUGAAAUCUGGGCUUUGGAGGACAGGACCCAGGCAGAGGGCCCCUUUAAGAUCACUGAUCAUGAUUUGACUCCGACUUCUGGGUGUUCAAAGACGCUGCUCUUGUGGAAAAACCAGCACAAACUGCUGAUAAAAUACAGUUAAUCCCUAGAAGGAUAGCAACUCCUACAGUAGAUAUCAGACUGCUUGUAGUCCAGGAUGGCCUGCACCUUGUUCUGCUGAGGCCUAAUGACUCUUCCACUCAGGACCCCAGAUUUCAAAAUUCCUGCUUGGCUAGGACACCUUUCUUGAGCUGGAGAGUGAAGCCGGCUCUGUGAAGUUGUUCCAGAACACCCCAAGAUGUUCAAGGUGCUCCUUCCAGGAGCUGCAGUAAACUCCCAGUAUCACAGGAAAUGGCUUCUUUUCCUAGGAUUAAAACAUCAUCAUAAGAUUACAGCCCCCCGCCUGGCUGGGAGCUCCGUCACUGAAACAUCUGCUAGCCUCAGGUGGGAGGUGUCUCCUGAGAUGAAGCAGACUCCACACAGUUUCCUGGUUUCUUACCA